rnacentral:rRNA from 1 species
UACGUAGGGUGCGAGCGUUAAUCGGAAUUACUGGGCGUAAAGCGUGCGCAGGCGGUUUUUUAAGCCAGAUGUGAAAUCCCCGGGCUUAACCUGGGAACUGCAUUUGGAACUGGAAGACUAGAGUACGGCAGAGGGGGGUAGAAUUCCACGUGUAGCAGUGAAAUGCGUAGAUAUGUGGAGGAAUACCGAUGGCGAAGGCAGCCCCCUGGGCCAUUACUGACACUGAGGAGCGAAAGCGUGGGGAGCGAACAGG